GGGGUUGUGGCUUAGUGGUAGAGCACUCACCUAGCAUGAGUGAGGCACUGGGUUCAAUCCUCAGCACCACA
rnacentral:tRNA from 1 species